UCGGAGCGUAAACUCCUUUUCUUAGGGAAGAAUUCUGACGGUACCUAAGGAAUAAGCACCGGCUAACUCCGUGCCAGCAGCCGCGGUAAUACGGAGGGUGCAAGCGUUACUCGGAAUCACUGGGCGUAAAGGGCGCGUAGGCGGAUUAUCAAGUCUCUUGUGAAAUCUAAUGGCUUAACCAUUAAACUGCUUGGGAAACUGAUAGUCUAGAGUGAGGGAGAGGCAGAUGGAAUUGGUGGUGUAGGGGUAAAAUCCGUAGAUAUCACCAAGAAUACCCAUUGCGAAGGCGAUCUGCUGGAACUCAACUGACGCUAAGGCGCGAAAGCGUGGGGAGCAAACAGGAUUAGAUACCCUGGUAGUCCACGCCCUAAACGAUGUACACUAGUUGUUGGGGUGCUAGUCAUCUCAGUAAUGCAGCUAACGCAUUAAGUGUACCGCCUGGGGAGUACGGUCGCAAGAUUAAAACUCAAAGGAAUAGACGGGGACCCGCACAAGCGGUGGAGCAUGUGGUUUAAUUCGAAGAUACGCGAAGAACCUUACCUGGGCUUGAUAUCCUAAGAACCUUAUAGAGAUAUGAGGGUGCUAGCUUGCUAGAACUUAGAGACAGGUGCUGCACGGCUGUCGUCAGCUCGUGUCGUGAGAUGUUGGGUUAAGUCCCGCAACGAGCGCAACCCACGUAUUUAGUUGCUAACGGUUCGGCCGAGCACUCUAAAUAGACUGCCUUCGUAAGGAGGAGGAAGGUGUGGACGACGUCAAGUCAUCAUGGCCCUUAUGCCCAGGGCGACACACGUGCUACAAUGGCAUAUACAAUGAGACGCAAUACCGCGAGGUGGAGCAAAUCUAUAAAAUAUGUCCCAGUUCGGAUUGUUCUCUGCAACUCGAGAGCAUGAAGCCGGAAUCGCUAGUAAUCGUAGAUCAGCCAUGCUACGGUGAAUACGUUCCCGGGUCUUGUACUCACCGCCCGUCACACCAUGGGAGUUGAUUUCACUCGAAGCCGGAAUACUAAACUAGUUACCGUCCACAGUGGAAUCAGCGACUGGGGUGAAGUCGUAACAAGGUAACCGUAGGAGAACCUGCGGUUGGAUCACCUCCUUUCUA
rnacentral:rRNA from 1 species